AUCAUUAAAAAAUUGGGUGACUGUAAUUUAGGUUAACCCAUUAUAAUAUCCUACCCUUUGUGAAUUUGUUUGUUAUGUAAAAUUUUUUGUCUAUCCCUAAAGAAAGGUUGGAUAAGUGUAAUAGCUUAAAAAACUUUUUUUUAGGGAAUGGCUUAAAGACUUUUAUUUAAAAUUAAACUUUUUGUAUUCAUUUGUCUAAAAAUUAUUUUUUAUAAUAUAAAAACAACUUUUGACAAUGGAUCUCUUGGUUCUCGCAACGAUGAAAGAACGCAGCAAAAUGCGAUAAGUAGUGUGAAUUGCAGAAUACGUGAAUCAUCGAAUCUUCGAACGCAUAUUGCACUUUUUUAGUUUACUAAAAAAGUACGUCUGUUUGAGUAUCAGUAAAAUAUUCUCAUAAAAAACAUCGUUUUUAUGGUUAUGAGUGUUUUACAACGAUACAAGUUGUUUCACUUUAAAUUUUUUUUAAAAAUUUGAAUUUUUCUAAUUUUAAAAUAAAAUUGGAUAAAUUUUCCCGUAAAAAGGAAUAACCUAAACAAUUUUAAAUUUUUGAUUAGAAUUCUUCACAUUCUAAAGGAAAAUUUAACUAAAUAACUUGAUCUCAAAUCAGAUAAGAGUACCCGCUGAACUUAAGCAUAUCAAUAAGCGGAGGAAAAGAAACUAACAAGGAUUCCUUAGUAACGGCGAGUGAAGCGGGAAGAGCUCAAAUUUGAAAUCUUCAAGGUUUUACCUUGACGAAUUGUAGUUUAAAGAAGUGUUUUCUGUUGAAGUUUUGGUAAAAGUUCUUUGGGAAUAGGACAUCAUAGAGGGUGAGAAUCCCGUAUUUGACCAUUAUUUUCAGCUGUGUGAUACACUUUCAAAGAGUCGGAUUGUUUGGAAUGCCAGUCCAAAAUGGGUGGUAAAUUUCAUCUAAAGCUAAAUAUUGGCGAGAGACCGAUAGCGAACAAGUACCGUGAGGGAAAGAUGAAUAAGAACUUUGAAAAGAGAGCUUAAAACAGUACGUGAAAUUGUCAAAAGGGAAGCGUUUGACACCAGUGUUGUUUUCCCGAAAAUCAAUUAAAAAAAGUUGGAUUUUGUGUAUGUAUAUGACCUUAACAGCUUUGCUUCACUCUUUUCCUGCAUUUUUUUAAUGCACUUUUCGUUUUUAACAAAGUCAACAUCAGUUUCUUUUGUUGUAAAAGGGUCAUUGGACGGUGGCUUUCUCUUCGGAGAAAGUGUUUAUAGCCUU
rnacentral:misc_RNA from 1 species